GGCUCUCAUUUCCUCGUGGGCGGGGCCGGGGCUCCUUGUCGUGUGCUGGCAACGGCCAGAGAAACCAUCAACCUGUCAGCUUUGAGGGCAGUGGAGUGUAGCCGCCAACCGUGAUGCAGAAAGGGCCCCGACAUCACUUCGAGGACAUCGCUAGGUCGAGAGUAAGAAAGAGAAGGAAAAUAUUAAAACAGGAAGGUGGGGGUCGAGGGCGCGUCCCUGCUGGGAGGUGGGAGCCGCUUCAGUUCUCCUGCUUGUCUUCCCCACAAGACUGUAAAUCCACAGAGGGCAAGACUCUUGUUCUGACUCUGCCAUAACAGGAACGAUAACAAGAUCGACAUGCUUCCUGCCUUCCUGACUCCGAUGUCACACUGAGUCCUGAACACAUGCACGUGGAGGGAUGGCAGACAUCGGCAGGCCGUUUUCGUUCUCUUCUCUCUGGCACUUCCGUGGCUCAACAACUUGGAGGCAGCACAGUGGAAUGCAAAGAACACUCAAUUUGGAUCCCAACGGAGAUGGAUUGGUAUCCUGGCUCCACCAACUGCUCUGUCGAGUUAUUUCACCUCAUCGAACUUCGUCUUCCCAUCUAUUUCAUAAGCAUAACAGCAACCUGUGCAGAGAGCCUGGUGAGGAUCCGGGGGCGAGGAUUUGGGGACCUACCAUACAUCCGUGCUAUAUAGGUGCUAGGCUCAGAGCAGGUGCCCAAAAGUGGACGUUUCCAAUUUCUUGCCCUCAGACACCUUUUUGUCUCUGCCUCCAUCUUGGCCUCUAGUAGCACACGCUGGGGUUCUGGUUCCUGGGAAGAUGAAAUGCCACAAAAAUGAAAUUCUAGAAAACCUUGCACAAAACCAUAAAACUCAGAUCUCUGACCUUUAGUCCUUUAAAUGUUCACACACAAGGCCUGGAAGAUUUUAAUUCAAUCCAAUUCAAUUCAGUUCCACAAACGCUCACCUCCCACUUCCGCACCUGACACUGAGCUGGCCCUGGGGACGCAGGACUCCUGUCUCAAGAUGCUCACGCUCAGGUUCUGGGAGAAGGGACAGAUAUUUCAGUGCACAGUUUGAAACCUAGUACCCGUAAGUGCAACAACUGUGUACAAGGCUCCACGUGACACAGUGAAAAUCGGGUGGGCGAAGGCAAGCGGCCACGAGAGGCUUCUCAGAGGAAGUAACGAAUAAGCUGAAUUGUGAAGGAGGAGUCGGUGGGCCUGUGGGGAGGAAGUAAGAAAGGCCUUUGCAGCAGGGGGGCCAGACUGUGAACGAGGUGGAGAGGCUGUGCUGCUUGUUGGAAGGACUGGAGAACAAUUUCAUAGCAUCACAUGCAGAGCUGUUGGGUUGUUCUCCAAAACUUACUGGACUUCAGGACAAUUGGAGAGCAUUGUGGGCCGGAGCGUUUGCAGGACAGCCUCUUGGGUAAUGUGGGCCUCUGCUAAUUUAGAAGUCCUCACUGCCCGGCCCCAGCAUCUCCCUUGGAUGAUGCUAGGUAAGGUUUACAUAUUUCGCAAGUCUUUCUCCUACUCCUUUUUUCACAGAUAGUAUCCUAGGGUGAUUCAUUCUUUUAUUCAAAAAUAACUUUUUGAUAGCCCCUGGAAUGAGCCAGGUCCUCUGUGCGUGUUGGCUCUGCAGAGCAGAAACCUGUAAAUGUUCUUCUCAGUCCACUGGGAGGGUGGAUGUGUAAGCAGAUGACUACAAUGCCAGUGGCACCUGCUGAGACAGAGGGCCCAGAGGGCUAGCGUGACCUCACUUCCAGCGGUACUCACGAGCCGGGGCAGAAUCUUCAGUCCUUGGUGGAAAAGCCUUUCUACUUGAUUAAAUUCAAUUUAUAUGCUAAUUGCCUUCUCCACCCACAAAAUCAGCUUUUGGAAAAAGGAGGUGCGGAGGUUUCAAUGGGUGAGUGGGAGGUAGCUUUUAUUAAAUCCCCACAGCAGGG
rnacentral:lncRNA from 1 species